rnacentral:rRNA from 1 species
CUUGCUGUUUCGCUGAUGAGUGGCGGACGGGUGAGUAAUGUCUGGGAAACUGCCUGAUGGAGGGGGAUAACUACUGGAAACGGUAGCUAAUACCGCAUAACGUCGCAAGACCAAAGAGGGGGACCCUCGGGCCUCUUGCCAUCGGAUGUGCCCAGAUGGGAUUAGCUUGUUGGUGGGGUAACGGCUCACCAAGGCGACGAUCCCUAGCUGGUCUGAGAGGAUGACCAGCCACACUGGAACUGAGACACGGUCCAGACUCCUACGGGAGGCAGCAGUGGGGAAUAUUGCACAAUGGGCGCAAGCCUGAUGCAGCCAUGCCGCGUGUAUGAAGAAGGCCUUCGGGUUGUAAGGUACUUUCAGCGGGGAGGAAGGGAGUAAAGUUAAUACCUUUGCUCAUUGACGUUACCCGCAGAAGAAGCACCGGCUAACUCCGUGCCAGCAGCCGCGGUAAUACGGAGGGUGCAAGCGUUAAUCGGAAUUACUGGGCGUAAAGCGCACGCAGGCGGUUUGUUAAGUCAGAUGUGAAAUCCCCGGGCUCAACCUGGGAACUGCAUCUGAUACUGGCAAGCUUGAGUCUCGUAGAGGGGGGUAGAAUUCCAGGUGUAGCGGUGAAAUGCGUAGAGAUCUGGAGGAAUACC